rnacentral:siRNA from 1 species
UAAUGAACCUCAGGCGACCA